rnacentral:lncRNA from 1 species
GGGCAAUGCUUUUCCUCCAGAAUCCAGAAGGAAGAAAAAUUUAAAAGGAAACAAAAAAAGAACUAAAUUUACACAGCCACAUCAGAAGCUUCUUUUUAAACUGACUUAAAAAAAAAUACAUGGAAAUAUUGUUAAUUAUUAACUUAAAUGCUUAAAGGACUGGAAAAAGUUUAUUUUUGAAUCAUUAUUACUCAUUCAGAGACAAGCUUCUCUCUCACGAGACUACACAAUUUUGAUAAGGGAUAUACAUGCAAACACUACAUUUCCUUUAGGAACAAGAACAUUCCCUGACAAUGUUUUGGGUAACCUUAAUAAGCUAAUGAUUAUGCUAUUUUAUUCUUAGCUUAUUUCCAGCACAGUUAAACAUCAGUUUGAUCUAUAUUUCUAACAUCUAUUUUUCAGGGAGUCAAACAUCUCAACACUUGGUAUCUCUGCUUUGGCAUUGUAUUAAAUCCAAAGGAAAGUGCUUACUCAUGGACAGGACAGUUGAAAAGAGUUGAAGUUCAUGUUUCUAGAGUCUUAACCUGAAAUUGAGGGCAAUAUGUAUUGUAAGUAUGCUUUCAGACACAAUGAUGCUGAUGGGACUGUAGAAAAAGAUGCUAAUUGUGAAGCAUAUUUUUCAGGUAGAGUAAUUCAGUAGUGUCAUUCAGGUGUAACUCAUCAAAGUGAUGAAUUGCAUUAUUUUCCCUUAAAAAACGUGAGAUAAGACAACAGCAGUUAGGUUUGCUGUGAUUCAACUGCAAAGAGGUUAUAAAGAGAAUACUUUUUAGUCAACCAUUUUAAAAGACACAGGUUUUGUAAACAGCUGGCAAUGAUACAGGUUAAGGAGGCUGAUUAAUUCACUCUGGUUGUUGUCACAGAGAUAUUAAAAAUUACUAGACUUGUGGUGAAUAUUGCUAAGUUCAUUGAAAGGGGAUAUAUUUCCUCAGUGUUGGAAUGGUUGUUGACUAGACAAGUGCUCAUUUCUCACUGGUUUUACAGAGGCAGUUGGACAUCUCUUGGAUUUCUCCUCUCCUCAACUUUGCCAUCUAGAUUUAAUAUGGGUCAAGAGUGGAAUCAGACUUAGAAAUGAACACACAAAGGCUACAAAUUUAUUUUCUCUCUUCAUCUCAGCUCCUUCAAGAGCUCCUCUACCCUGAUGAAAAAUCCUUGUGGCCCAAG